UACGGGGGGGGUAAGCGUUGUUCGGAAUUACUGGGCGUAAAGCGCGUGUAGGCGGCCUUGCAAGUCGGAUGUGAAAGCCCACGGCUCAACCGUGGAAGUGCAUCCGAAACUGCAUAGCUUGAGUCUCGGAGAGGAAGGUGGAAUGCUUGGUGUAGAGGUGAAAUUCGUAGAUAUCAAGCAGAACACCUGCGGCGAAGGCGGCUUCCUGGACACCAACUGACGCUGAGACGCGAAAGCGUGGGGAGCAAACAGG
rnacentral:rRNA from 1 species